rnacentral:tRNA from 1 species
GAGGGUAUAGCUCAACUGGUAGAGCACAUGCUUAUCAUGCAUGAGGUCUUGGGUUCAAUCCCCAGUACCUCCA